rnacentral:rRNA from 1 species
AUGCACGCUGGCGGCGUGCUUAACCCAUGCAAGUCGCACGGAAAGGCCCAAGCUUGCUUGGGUACUCGAGUGGCGAACGGGUGAGUAACACGUGGGUGAUCUGCCCUGCACUUCGGGAUAAGCCUGGGAAACUGGGUCUAAUACCGGAUAGGACCACAUUUUGGAUGGUGUGGUGGAAAGUUUUUCGGUGUGGGAUGAGCUCGCGGCCUAUCAGCUUGUUGGUGGGGUAAUGGCCUACCAAGGCGUCGACGGGUAGCCGGCCUGAGAGGGUGUACGGCCACAUUGGGACUGAGAUACGGCCCAGACUCCUACGGGAGGCAGCAGUGGGGAAUAUUGCACAAUGGGCGCAAGCCUGAUGCAGCGACGCCGCGUGGGGGAUGACGGCCUUCGGGUUGUAAACUCCUUUCGCUAGGGACGAAGCGUUAUGUGACGGUACCUGGAGAAGAAGCACCGGCUAACUACGUG